rnacentral:sRNA from 1 species
CGGACAGCCCAGGAGACUGAAGUCUCCUAUUUAUCCACUGAACAGGUGCACAGCAGCAAAACGCUGGUCUACUGUCAUGCCUUUAACCCUUAUCUGUGGAAGCACCUUUCCAAGGUGAAAGGAGAGCUCAGCCUUCCUACCCAUUUCAAACCCUGUCCAAU